AACACACUGCGCCCUUCAUACAUACAAUACGUCCAAACAAAUACAUAUAUAAAUAUAUAUAUAAUACACAAUACCCCUCUUGUUUUAUAAAUAUAUAUAUAUAUAUAUAUUUGGACGUAUUGUAUGUGUGAAGGGCGCAGUGUGUU
rnacentral:miRNA from 1 species